GCUGGGCAUGGUGGCACAUGCCUAUAAUCCCAGAGCUUGGGAGGCUGAGGCAGGAGGAUCAUGAGUUCAAAGCCAGCCUUAGCAAAGGCUAGGCACUAAGUCAGUGAGACCCUGUCUCUA
rnacentral:sRNA from 1 species